CACGUAGGGCGCGAGCGUUGUCCGGAUUUAUUGGGCGUAAAGAGCGUGUAGGCGGCCAUACAGGUCAGCUGUGAAAACUCGAGGCUCAACCUCGAGACGUCGGUUGAAACCGUGUGGCUAGAGUCCGGAAGAGGAGAGUGGAAUUCCCGGUGUAGCGGUGAAAUGCGCAGAUAUCGGGAAGAACACCCGUGGCGAAGGCGGCUCUCUGGGACGGUACUGACGCUGAGACGCGAAAGCGUGGGGAGCGAACAGG
rnacentral:rRNA from 1 species